rnacentral:rRNA from 1 species
AACGAACGCUGGCGGCAGGCUUAACACAUGCAAGUCGAUCGCAUCCUUCGGGGUGAGUGGCAGACGGGUGAGUAACGCGUGGGAACGUGCCCUUCAGUUCGGGAUAACCCAGGGAAACUUGGGCUAAUACCGGAUACGUGCGAGAGCAGAAAGAUUUAUCGCUGAAGGAUCGGCCCGCGUCUGAUUAGCUAGUUGGUGGGGUAAUGGCCCACCAAGGCGAAGAUCAGUAGCUGGUCUGAGAGGAUGAUCAGCCACAUUGGGACUGAGACACGGCCCAAACUCCUACGUGAGGCAGCAGUGGGGAAUAUUGGACAAUGGGCGCAAGCCUGAUCCAGCCAUGCCGCGUGAGUGAUGAAGGCCUUAGGGUUGUAAAGCUCUUUCGUCCGGGACGAUAAUGACGGUACCGGAAGAAGAAGCCCCGGCUAACUUCGUGCCAGCCGCCGCGGUAA